CCUACGGGAGGCAGCAGUAGGGAAUUUUCCGCAAUGGGCGAAAGCCAGACGGAGCGACGCCACGUCUGAUGACGAAGGCCUUCGGGUCGUAAAAUCCUGUCAGGGGGGACGAUGGUUGAUCUUCGGAUUGAAUGAACGGUACCCCCAGAGGNNCUCCGGCCAA
rnacentral:rRNA from 1 species